CCCCUCUCAGGGUUACAUCUGGAGAGUUUCCAAUACUCUACCAAUCUCGACUAUGGGAGGGAGAGCCAAGCAGAGGCCUACCCACUCUAUUCCUAGCUUGGAAAGUAGCUAGUGAGUAGAAAGCAAUCUGCUACAAAU
rfam:Ornithorhynchus anatinus chromosome 7, whole genome shotgun sequence.